UGCCAGCAGCCGCGGUAAUACGGAGGGUGCAAGCGUUGUUCGGAAUUAUUGGGCGUAAAGCGGACGCAGGCGGUCGUAUAAGUCGGAUGUGAAAUCCCUGGGCUCAACCCAGGAACUGCAUUCGAAACUAUGCGGCUAGAGUCUCGGAGAGGGUGGCGGAAUUCCCGGUGUAGAGGUGAAAUUCGUAGAUAUCGGGAGGAACACCAGUGGCGAAGGCGGCCACCUGGACGAUGACUGACGCUCAGGUCCGAAAGCGUGGGGAGCAAACAGGAUUAGAUA
rnacentral:rRNA from 1 species